rnacentral:misc_RNA from 1 species
AUUUAUGCAGGAUUUGUCUUACAGAAAUAUCUUUAUUUGAGAGUGUUCCCGAUGCCCUACAUGAAGCCCCAUCGCAGAGUCUCCAUUUUCCUCUAUCCGAAAUAGUUGGACAAGGGGAACCUUUUUUCAUAAGAAGAAAUGAGAGUAUGGAGACCUCUAUGUAGUGACGCAGUUGAUUCGGCCUCCACUAUUCUCAAGAAUAAAAUAAGAUUUCUUGCUUUGCUACAAACCCUAUUAGCGUAGCCAGUCUGGUCGCUGGUGUGUUGUUCGUUCUAGCGAUAGGCUCUGAAAUCCUCUCUCUGAAAGCCCUCUUGAUAUGAUGAG